ensembl:lncRNA novel transcript
CAAAACCACAUUCCUGCUGCUGUCAGUUAUGAUGCACUGAGAAAACUUCAGAGACCUAAACUUUUUCCAGAGAAGAGAAGCUUUACUGGUGUUCCAGCCCUAAGAAACCUUUGUUCAACAAAACUGCAGAUGCUCUGUUGAAUCCACUGGAGAUUGUUCUGAUACUAAGGACAAGUAUCAAACAUCUUUCCUGUGAAAAAUUCCCUCUCCUAGUACUUUAGUUCUGUGGAUCCAAAAUUUAUAGCAUUCUUCUACCACCACAGGGGCUCAUAUGACAUUAACAGACAAGACACUUUUCAGAAAGACAGGUUGUUCUUUUGGGCCACAUCUAAGAAAUCUUUGUCUAGCCAAAAGCCACAAAUAAUUUCUCAUUUUUUGGCUUCUGGAAGAUGUACAGUUAAAUGUUAUAUUUGGGACUGUUAUCUAAUUUGGUUAAAUUGCACUCUACAAUAUGGUAUUUGAAUUGAUGAAAAAUUAGUAAAUGUUAAUAUUUUUUAAAGUAGCCAAAUCUUGCAAUUUAUAUAUAAUAGAGAAGACUAGAAAAUCCCCCAUAUUUAUUUCCUCUUACUUCGUACUACUAAAAUUUGUAUUUAGGCAUUUGGUUUCUCAGAUAAACAUUACAUUCCCCAGUAUAUGGUUCUAUCUGGCUUGGUGACGACAUGUUGAACAUUAAGAUGUGAGCAGAAGUAAUACAUACACACUCUUUUUCAUGUCUUUAAUUGAAUGGGAUAUUGGCCCAUUUUUUCUUCCAGUUUAUUACACUGAAUAUUGACAUGUUAUUUUCCAAUAUUGAGACAAUCAAUGACAAGACUUUAAGAGUAACAAUGUAAAAAUACAGAAGUUGUCUGAGUUUAUCAACAAUCCCCUGGAUUAGAACCCCCUACCAGUUCUAGGUCAUCUAAUAUAUAGACAUUGUGUUCAGUAGAAAUAAAUAUAUAUAUUUUUUAUUAUGCUUUAAGUUCUAGGAUACAUGUGCACAACAUGCAGUUUUGUUACAUUGGUAUACACGUGCCAUGUUGGUUUGCUGCACCCAUUAACUCAUCAUUUACAUUAGGUAUUUCUCCUAAUGCUAUCCCUCCCCCUGCCCCCACCCCCGACAGGCCCUGGGGUGUGAUUUUCCCCACCCUGUGUCCAAGUGUUCUCAUUGCUCAAUUCCCACCUAUGGGAAUACAUUUUUAAAUCAUUUUUAAAGGUGUUAUUACAUUCUGAUUGAACAUUUUCAGAAAGAAUAAAUAAUUUAAUACAAGAAGUGGGCCACUUCAUGUAACAAAACAAACCACCACUACAGCAACAACAACAAAAAACACUAAUGAAUGUGACUUUAGCUUUGCAACAUCGUGACAGACUAGCAAGUUAAUGACAUUUGUUAUGCCAUAGAAAAUAUUUGUUGAAUUGCCACUCUAAUGACUUUAUAUCAGCCAACUCAUUAUCAACACUAGAAAAGAUGAUUAAAAAAUACUUCAGUACGUUCACGUGUUGGCUUGUUAACAUUUUUAAGAGUCUAUAAGAGAAAAAUGCAUCCAAUCUUGACAAAAAUAUUUUUCAAGUAUCUUGUAGGUACGUACAACUAACUACCUUGUGAACAAAAGUCACUAUAUAAUUAUAUAAUUUCUGACACUUAAAAAAGUUUAUUGUGCUAAAGAAGAUAUAUGUUCUAAUACCAAAUCCACAUAUAAAAUAAUUGACUUAAAUAAUUUAAGAUGCUCUUUUAUAUAUUUAUAUUAAAAACUUUACAGAGAAUAAAAAAAGCAUUAUACAGGCUACUUAUGGUUUUUGAUGUUUGGAUCUACAAUACAUGUAUCAAAGAUUGUGGAAAUAAAUCAAACAAUAUAUUCAA